CUCCAUAGGAAUUUGCAUUACCUUAAAUAGAUGAAGCGAAAACUAUAAAAGUAAAAAUUUAAAGAAAAACCUGAAUUGGUCCUCAAGGGAUAUAAUAAUUUGUGUUCUAUUUCACAGUUACACGUGUGUUUAAAUGGACAGACCCAAUGGAAAAGGCUGUGCAUUAAAAGGCAGAUGACAAGUUGACCACCUAUUCCUUCCACUAAUCCGUCAGCUCUUGGCCUGCAAAGCCCAUGGCUGCCUGCCUGCUGUGGUUGAGGUGGGAAUGGGGGGAGGGGAGAGGAGGAUUUCCGUGCAAUGCCAUGGAAACUGCAAG